CCCCAAACCGACACAGGUGGUCAGGUAGAGAAUACCAAGGCGCUUGAGAGAACUCGGGUGAAGGAACUAGGCAAAAUGGUGCCGUAACUUCGGGAGAAGGCACGCUGGUGUGUAGGUGAAGCCCCUGCGGGUGGAGCUGAGACCAGUCGAAGAUACCAGCUGGCUGCAACUGUUUAUUAAAAACACAGCACUGUGCAAACACGAAAGUGGACGUAUACGGUGUGACGCCUGCCCGGUGCCGGA
rnacentral:rRNA from 1 species